UGCAAGUCGAGCGGAACGAAGGUAGCUUGCUACCAGGCGUCGAGCGGCGGACGGGUGAGUAACGCGUAGGAAUCUGCCUAGUAGAGGGGGACAACAUGUGGAAACGCAUGCUAAUACCGCAUACGCCCUGAGGGGGAAAGGAGGGGAUCACUUGUGACCUUCCGCUAUUAGAUGAGCCUGCGUGAGAUUAGCUAGUUGGUAGGGUAAAGGCCUACCAAGGCGACGAUCUCUAACUGGUCUGAGAGGAUGACCAGUCACACUGGGACUGAGACACGGCCCAGACUCCUACGGGAGGCAGCAGUGGGGAAUAUUGGACAAUGGGCGCAAGCCUGAUCCAGCCAUGCCGCGUGUGUGAAGAAGGCCUUAGGGUUGUAAAGCACUUUCAGGGGUGAGGAAGGGUGAGUCGCUAAUAUCGACUUAUCUUGACGUUAGCCCCAGAAGAAGCACCGGCUAACUCUGUGCCAGCAGCCGCGGUAAUACAGAGGGUGCAAGCGUUAAUCGGAAUUACUGGGCGUAAAGCGCGCGUAGGUGGUUUGUUAAGUCUGAUGUGAAAUCCCAGGGCUCAACCUUGGAAUGGCACCGGAUACUGGCUAGCUAGAGUA
rnacentral:rRNA from 1 species